rnacentral:rRNA from 1 species
GUAGCAGAACUAACAGGAUUCGCCUAGUAACUGCGAGUGAACAGGGAUUAGCCCAGCACCGAAGCCUGUGGCCAUUUGGUCACUAGGCAAUGUGGUGUUCAGGUCGUUCCGCAAAGGUACUGCUCCACCCUAAGUCCAUCAAUGAGUACGGUAGUACGGACAUGGCCCACAGAGGGUGACAGGCCCGUGUGGGUGGAGAUCAGGUAGGCCAGUGCCUUUCUGGAUAGACCUUGGAGUCGGGUUGUUUGGGAAUGCAGCCCAAAGUGGGUGGUAAACUCCAUCCAAGGCUAAAUACAAGCACGAGUCCGAUAGCGAACAAGUACCGUGAGGGAAAGUUGAAAAGAUCC